rnacentral:sRNA from 12 species
UGCCUAACCCUUGUGAGAAUAAAAUCUCCGAGGUAUGGCACAAAAUCCUCCGCAACAUAGAUGGUCGCCUGACCAUACUUCUGUUGCGGAGGUCUAUCCCGAAAGGGGUAGGGCGUUCCUUUGGGGAUGC